UCUGACGGAGCAACGCCGCGUGAGUGAUGAAGGUUUUCGGAUCGUAAAACUCUGUUGUUAGGGAAGAACAAGUACCGUUCGAAUAGGGCGGUACCUUGACGGUACCUAACCAGAAAGCCACGGCUAACUACGUGCCAGCAGCCGCGGUAAUACGUAGGUGGCAAGCGUUGUCCGGAAUUAUUGGGCGUAAAGCGCGCGCAGGCGGUUUCUUAAGUCUGAUGUGAAAGCCCCCGGCUCAACCGGGGAGGGUCAUUGGAAACUGGGGAACUUGAGUGCAGAAGAGGAGAGUGGAAUUCCACGUGUAGCGGUGAAAUGCGUAGAGAUGUGGAGGAACACCAGUGGCGAAGGCGACUCUCUGGUCUGUAACUGACGCUGAGGCGCGAAAGCGUGGGGAGCGAACAGGAUUAGAUACCCUGGUAGUCCACGCCGUAAACGAUGAGUGCUAAGUGUUAGAGGGUUUCCGCCCUUUAGUGCUGCAGCAAACGCAUUAAGCACUCCGCCUGGGGAGUACGGUCGCAAGACUGAAACUCAAAGGAAUUGACGGGGGCCCGCACAAGCGGUGGAGCAUGUGGUUUAAUUCGAAGCAACGCGAAGAACCUUACCAGGUCUUGACAUCCUCUGACAACCCUAGAGAUAGGGCUUCCCCUUCGGGGGCAGAGUGACAGGUGGUGCAUGGUUGUCGUCAGCUCGUGUCGUGAGAUGUUGGGUUAAGUCCCGCAACGAGCGCAACCCUUGAUCUUAGUUGCCAGCAUUCAGUUGGGCACUCUAAGGUGACUGCCGGUGACAAACCGGAGGAUGGUGGGGAUGACGUCAAAUCAUCAUGCCCCUUAUGACCUGGGCUACACACGUGCUACAAUGGGCAGAAACAAAGGGCAGCGAAGCCGCGAGGCUAAGCCCAUCCCACAAUCUGUUCUCAGUUCGGAUCGCAGUCUGCAACUCGACUGCGUGAAGCUGGAAUCGCUAG
rnacentral:rRNA from 1 species